rnacentral:sRNA from 2 species
UUGACUUAGAAAUGAGAAUCGUUAUGAUUAUCACAACCGGUCGCGAGACUGGCCGAUAACCUGAAAGACCUUGGUUCGGACUUUCAGGAUUAUCUCCUCAUCAGGCUAAUCACGGUUUUUGACCCGGCUUUUUGCCGGGUCUUUUUUUG